ACGAACGCUGGCGGCGUGCCUCAUACAUGCAAGUAGCACGCUGAAGAGAGGAGCUUGCUCUUCUUGGAUGAGUUGCGAACGGGUGAGUAACGCGUAGGUAACCUGCCUUGUAGCGGGGGAUAACUAUUGGAAACGAUAGCUAAUACCGCAUAACAAUGGAUGACUCAUGUCAUUUAUUUGAAAGGGGCAAUUGCUCCACUACAAGAUGGACCUGCGUUGUAUUAGCUAGUAGGUGAGGUAAUGGCUCACCUAGGCGACGAUACAUAGCCGACCUGAGAGGGUGAUCGGCCACACGGGGACUGAGACACGGCCCAGACUCCUACGGGAGGCAGCAGUAGGGAAUCUUCGGCAAUGGGGGCAACCCUGACCGAGCAACGCCGCGUGAGUGAAGAAGGUUUUCGGAUCGUAAAGCUCUGUUGUAAGUCAAGAACGGGUGUGAGAGUGGAAAGUUCACACUGUGACGGUAGCUUACCAGAAAGGGACGGCUAACUACGUG
rnacentral:rRNA from 1 species